rnacentral:rRNA from 1 species
GAUGAACGCUAGCGGCAGGCUUAACACAUGCAAGUCGAGGGGUAUAGGAAGCUUGCUUCCUUGAGACCGGCGCACGGGUGCGUAACGCGUAUGCAACCUACCUUUUACAGAGGGAUAGCCCAGAGAAAUUUGGAUUAAUACCUCAUGGUAUAUAUCAUUCGCAUGUUUGAUAUAUUAAAGUUCCAACGGUAAAGAUGGGCAUGCGUCCUAUUAGCUAGAUGGUAAGGUAACGGCUUACCAUGGCAACGAUAGGUAGGGGUCCUGAGAGGGAGAUCCCUCACACUGGUACUGAGACACGGACCAGACUCCUACGGGAGGCAGCAGUGAGGAAUAUUGGACAAUGGGCGCAAGCCUGAUCCAGCCAUGCCGCGUGCAGGAUGAAGGCCCUCGGGUUGUAAACUGCUUUUGUACGGAACGAAAAGGUUUCUCUUAAUACGAGGAGCUCAUGACGGUACCGUAAGAAUAAGCACCGGCUAACUACGUGCCAGCAG